rnacentral:rRNA from 1 species
CAGAGGGUGCAAGCGUUGUUCGGAAUUAUUGGGCGUAAAGCGCGUGUAGGCGGCUUGGCAAGUCAGAUGUGAAAGCCCUCGGCUUAACCGAGGAAGUGCGUCUGAAACUGCUGAGCUUGAGUGUCGGAGAGGAUGGCGGAAUUCCGCAAGUAGAGGUGAAAUUCGUAGAUAUGCGGAGGAACACCGGUGGCGAAGGCGGCCAUCUGGACGACUACUGACGCUGAGACGCGAAAGCGUGGGGAGCAAACAGGAUUAGAUACCCUGGUAGUCCACGCUGUAAACGAUGAGAACUAGGUGUCGUGGGUGUUGACCCCCCGCGGUGCCGCAGCUAACGCAUUAAGUUCUCCGCCUGGGAAGUACGGCCGCAAGGCUA